rnacentral:rRNA from 1 species
CAGUCGCCGCGGUAAUACGUAGGGUGCAAGCGUUAAUCGGAAUUACUGGGCGUAAAGCGUGCGCAGGCGGUUAUAUAAGACAGAUGUGAAAUCCCCGGGCUCAACCUGGGAACUGCAUUUGUGACUGUAUAGCUAGAGUACGGCAGAGGGGGAUGGAAUUCCGCGUGUAGCAGUGAAAUGCGUAGAUAUGCGGAGGAACACCGAUGGCGAAGGCAAUCCCCUGGGCCUGUACUGACGCUCAUGCACGAAAGCGUGGGGAGCAAACAGGAUUAGAGACCCGAGUAGUCCCUGUCUCUUAUAC